CCUUGACCAGGGGGUGUUCCAAGAUGGCUGCCGUGUCAUCUGAGGUCAGCAGGUUGAAGCGGAUGUGAGGGAGGAUGCUGGGUAGGUGGUGCAGUCUGUCCUUCCUGCUGUGCUGCACCCAUCUCACCACAGCCUCCCACACU